AUGACCUGCAAGGAUCUAUCCCAACGUCCUUAUGUAAUUGUACUAAACAAACCUCCAUCGAUCUCUCUUACUACAAUUUAUUUCUACCAUGCCUACUACAGUAAGAACACUCGGGAAUUUAAUGAGCCUCUCCACUUUUUUGCAGAUUUACCCCAUCUUGUCAGUCUGGACCUCAGUAGCAACUCUCUCUGGGGCGUAAUUCCAUCAAGUAUUGGCGCUCUUGCCAAGCUCGCGCUCUUAGAUCUAUCCUUCAAUCUUCUUGAUGGACCCAUCCCGCCAUCCAUAGGUAGUUGUACUAAACUAACCUCUCUUGAUCUCUCACAUAAUAUUUUGUCCAAAAGAUCAAUUCGAAGCAUAGGAAAUUUGAUGAGUUUACGAUACUUAGAUCUUUCCAACAAUCAAAUAAAUGGUUCCUUCCCUUCGCCAUUUUGA
rnacentral:rRNA from 1 species